rnacentral:rRNA from 1 species
CUACGGGCUGCUCCAGUGGGGAAUUUUGCGCAAUGGGCGAAAGCUUGACGCAGCAACGCCGCGUGACCGAUGAAGCAUUUAGGUGUGUAAAGGUCUGUCGUUAGGGAAGAAUAGAUUGGUGGUUAAUACCCUCCGGUCCUGACGGUACCUAACAAGAAAGCUCCGGCUAGCUCCGUGCCAGCAGCCGCGGUAAUACGGGGGGAGCAAGCGUUAUCCGGAAUUACUGGGCGUAAAGGGCACGUAGGCGGGUUCUUAAGUCAGAUUUUAAAUCCAACAGCUUAACUGUUGACCUGGAUCUGAAACUGGGAGUCUUGAAUACAAAAGAGGAAAGCGGAAUUCCUGGUGUAGCGGUGAAAUGCGUAGAUAUCAGGAAGAACACCGGUGGCGAAGGCGGCUUUCUGGUUUGUUAUUGACGCUGAUGUGCGAAAGCGUGGGGAGCGAACAGGAUUAGAUACCCCUGUAGUC